rnacentral:rRNA from 1 species
UUAUGGAGAGUUUGAUCCUGGCUCAGGAUGAACGCUGGCGGCGUGCCUAACACAUGCAAGUCGAACGGUACCAGGCUUUCACUGUCCGUUCCUCGCAACUAGUUUCUAGUUGACCCCGAGGAAUAGAGAGUGAAAGUGCUGGCGAGUGGCGGACGGCUGAGUAACGCGUGGGAACGUGCCCCAAAGUGAGGAAUAAGCACCGGAAACGGUGUCUAAUGCCGCAUAUGAUCUUCGGAUUAAAGUAUUUAUACGCUUUGGGAGCGGCCCGCGUCGGAUUAGGUUGUUGGUGAGGUAAUGGCUCACCAAGCCGACGAUCCGUAGCUGGUCUGAGAGGAUGACCAGCCAGACUGGAACUGAGACACGGUCCAGACUCCUACGGGAGGCAGCAGUGAGGAAUCUUCCACAAUGGGCGAAAGCCUGAUGGAGCAACGCCGCGUGCAGGAUGAAGGCCUUCGGGUCGUAAACUGCUUUUAUUUGUGAAGAAUAUGACGGUAACAAAUGAAUAAGGAUCGGCUAACUACGUGCCAGCAGCCGCGGUCAUACGUAGGAUCCAAGCGUUAUCCGGAGUGACUGGGCGUAAAGAGUUGCGUAGGUGGUUAUAUAAGUGAAUAGUGAAAUCUGGCGGCUCAACCGUACAGGCUAUUAUUCAAACUGUAUAACUCGAGAAUGGUAGAGGUAACUGGAAUUUCUUGUGUAGGAGUGAAAUCCGUAGAUAUAAGAAGGAACACCAAUGGCGUAGGCAGGUUACUGGACCAUGCUGUUGGGGGUAUCGACCCCCCCAGUAGCGAAGCUAACGCGUUAAGUAUCCCGCCUGUGGAGUACGGUCGCAAGACUAAAACAUAAAGGAAUUGACGGGGACCCGCACAAGCGGUGGAUCGUGUUCUUUAAUUCGAUGAUAAACGAAAAACCUUACCAGGGUUUGACAUCCUUGGAAUCUCUGCGAAAGUAGAGAGUGCUUUAUUGAGCCAAGUGACAGCUGUUGCAUGGCCGUCGUCAGCUCGUGUCGUGAGAUGUUUGGUUAAGUCCAUCAACGAGCGCAACCCUUGUGAAUAGUUGUAUUUUUCUAUUCAAACUGCCCCGGUAACGGGGAGGAAGGAGGGGAUGAUGUCAGGUCAGUAUUACGCUUACAUCCUGGGCUAGAAACACGAUACAAUGGUUAGUACAAUGCGCAGCGAAGCCGCGAGGUGGAGCAAAUCGCAUCAAAGCUAAUCUCAGUUCGGAUUGGAGGCUGAAACUCGCCUCCAUGAAGUCGGAAUCGCUAGUAAUCGCAGAUCAGCAAGCUGCGGUGAAUACGUUCCCGGGUCUUGUACAGCGAGGUGGAGCAAAUCGCAUCAAAGCCAGUCCCAGUUCGGAUUGCAGGCUGAAACUCGCCUGCAUGAAGUUGGAAUCGCUAGUAAUCGCAGAUCAGCAAGCUGCGGUGAAUACGUUCCCGGCUCUUGUACACACCGCCCGUCAAACCAUGAAAGUGACCAACACCCGAAGUCCGAUUCGUCGGCCUAAGGUGGGGGGCAUGAUUGGGGUUAAGUCGUAACA